UACAGAGGUCUCAAGCGUUGUUCGGAUUCAUUGGGCGUAAAGGGUGCGUAGGUGGCGCCGCAAGUCAGGUGUGAAAUUUCGGAGCUUAACUCCGAAACUGCAUUUGAUACUGCGGUGCUUGAGGACUGGAGAGGAGACUGGAAUUUACGGUGUAGCAGUGAAAUGCGUAGAGAUCGUAAGGAAGACCAGUGGCGAGGGCGGGUCUCUGGGCAGUUCCUGACACUGAGGCACGAAGGCCAGGGGAGCAAACGGG
rnacentral:rRNA from 1 species